rnacentral:lncRNA from 1 species
UUUUCUUUUUUUCUUUUUUUUAGGAUUUUGUUUAUUUACUUGAGAGAGAACGAGAGCAAGCACGGGUAGGGGAAGAGGGAGAGGGAGAAAGAAGCAGACUCCCCGCUGAGCAGGACUCGAUCCCAGGGCCCUGGGAUCAUGACCUGAGCCAAAGGUAGAAGCUUAACCAGCUGAGCCACACAGGCACCCCAAAGUCAUACUUUCUGCAGAAGGGCUCGGCAUCCCACCUUUUUCCUGAGCUCCUAAUCCAAACUCCCGUGGGCAGUUUGGUACACGUGCGGCUGCAGCGAGCGCUCGUGGGCAGUUGAAGUAGAAAUACGCCCCUGGCAAGAUGCAGCCUUGCCACAGCUGGAGCUAAUGAGUGUGAUUUAGUGAGAACAGCGGAGUUCCGCGCACUACACCUGGGUGCAGAUCCAGACGCUGACGUUUCUGGGAGCAUGUCUGUGAGCAACUCAAAAGGGGUCCUG